rnacentral:rRNA from 1 species
GACGAACGCUGGCGGCGUGCUUAACACAUGCAAGUCGAACGGAAAGGCCCUGCUUUUGUGGGGUGCUCGAGUGGCGAACGGGUGAGUAACACGUGAGUAACCUGCCCUUGACUUUGGGAUAACUUCAGGAAACUGGGGCUAAUACCGGAUAGGAGCUCCUGCUGCAUGGUGGGGGUUGGAAAGUUUUGGCGGUUGGGGAUGGACUCGCGGCUUAUCAGCUUGUUGGUGGGGUAGUGGCUUACCAAGGCUUUGACGGGUAGCCGGCCUGAGAGGGUGAACGGCCACAUUGGGACUGAGAUACGGCCCAGACUCCUACGGGAGGCAGCAGUGGGGAAUAUUGCACAAUGGGCGGAAGCCUGAUGCAGCGACGCCGCGUGCGGGAUGACGGCCUUCGGGUUGUAAACCGCUUUCGCCUGUGACGAAGCGUGAGUGACGGUAAUGGGUGAAGAAGCACCGGCUAACUACGUG